rnacentral:rRNA from 1 species
AUUGAACGCUGGCGGCAUGCCUUACACAUGCAAGUCGAACGGCAGCGGACCUUCGGGUGCCGGCGAGUGGCGAACGGGUGGAGUAAUAUAUCGGAACGUUACCUUUCAGGUGGGGGAUAACGUAGCGAAAGUUACGCUAAUACCGCAUAUUCUGUGAGCAGGAAAGCGAGGGGAUCGCAAGACCUUGCGCUGAUUGAGCGGCCGAUAUCAGAUUAGCUAGUUGGUGAGGUAAAGGCUCACCAAGGCGACGAUCUGUAGCGGGUCUGAGAGGAUGAUCCGCCACACUGGAACUGAGACACGGUCCAGACUCCUACGGGA